AUCUCUUGCAAAUGCACCUCCUGAGCAGCAAAGGCUGAUGCUUGGUGAAAGCCUGUACCCACUGGUGGAACAAUUGGAACACGAUCAUGCAGCUAAAGUGACUGGGAUGCUCCUGGAGAUGGACCAGACCGAAGUCCUACAUCUGCUGGAAGAACCAGAUGCUCUGAAGGCUAAAGUCACAGAAGCCAUGGAGGUUUUGAAGACUGUUAUUCAGCAG
rnacentral:misc_RNA from 1 species